UCCUCGUUUAAGCGAGGCAGUCUGUCCAGAGUGCUUCGAACUCUCGUUCAAGUGGCAACAGGACACAGGGGUUGCGCUCGUUGCGGGACUUAGCCCAACAUCUCACGACACGAGCUGACGACAGCCAUGCAGCACCUGUGCAUGCUGGUAUUGCUACCUCGUCGGGCUUUCACCCUUCUACUACAUGCAUGUCAAGGCCAGGUAAGGUUCUUCGCGUUGCAUCGAAUUAAGCCACAUACUCCACCGCUUGUGCAGGCCCCCGUCAAUUUCUUUGAGUUUCAAUCUUGCGAUCGUACUCCCCAGGUGGAUUACUUAACGCUUUCGCUUGGACGUGUACUGUGUAUCGCACACAUCGAGUAAUCAUAGUUUACGGCGUGGACUAC
rnacentral:misc_RNA from 1 species